CUCCAAUGGCAUCGGUCCCAGCUGCCUGUCCAGUGUGUGAAGGAGUGAGAGUACAUCUUCCCCCAUCACGGAGUGACUACAUAUCUAGAAUUGCAACUCACUUGAUCAAGGUGAAGGGUGCUGGUGGUGUAGUCCAUGCCUGCCUACCCAGGCCCGCCGAGGAGGAACCAUCCAUAGUGAGAUGAGCAUGCAUCCAAGAUGCCAGAGGCACACUAGAACAAAGCAGAAGUCUGUGUGGCCAUACUUAAUAGAAACUCCAACUCGGGCAGGUACCGACACUGGCUUAUUUACGUACUACCAUAAGUCUACAGGUAAGUCAGGCUUCAGAGCUCAGUAAU
rnacentral:lncRNA from 1 species